AGAGCUUGCUUCUCUUGAGAGCGGCGGACGGGUGAGUAAUACCUAGGAAUCUGCCUGAUAGUGGGGGAUAACGUUCGGAAACGGACGCUAAUACCGCAUACGUCCUACGGGAGAAAGCAGGGGACCUUCGGGCCUUGCGCUAUCAGAUGAGCCUAGGUCGGAUUAGCUAGUUGGUGAGGUAAUGGCUCACCAAGGCUACGAUCCGUAACUGGUCUGAGAGGAUGAUCAGUCACACUGGAACUGAGACACGGUCCAGACUCCUACGGGAGGCAGCAGUGGGGAAUAUUGGACAAUGGGCGAAAGCCUGAUCCAGCCAUGCCGCGUGUGUGAAGAAGGUCUUCGGAUUGUAAAGCACUUUAAGUUGGGAGGAAGGG
rnacentral:rRNA from 1 species